rnacentral:rRNA from 1 species
AUGGGAAGAACAUGUGUGUUUGUUCAUCAUGGGGACAAAGACGCCUUUUUGAAAGGCAAUAAAGAACCGGACCCAGAUGAGCUUGACAUUGUGUUUGAUAGUAGUCCUAGCUAUGCGGAGCUCUUGCAACAAGUUAGGAAAGAUUUGAAUUGGAUGGACCCUAGUGAUAUCAUUGAGUUGGAGGGAAGGCAUAAUGUUGGUUUUGGAAUGCACAUCCGUUGGAAGACAAUGCGUGUAAACUCAGAGCAACGUUGGGUUGCAUACAAGGAGACGGUGGCCGAAUCACUAGACAAGGCUCUUGAGUUAUUUGCAACGAAGAAGGUUGAGUCAAGUUUGCAUUUGGACUUGAACCGGAACCCCUCCCCUUUGGUUGCUAGUAGCCCCCCACCCUUGAAGCAAGAUGAAAUUGUUGAACCUCUUUUGACCCAAGAAGUGAGGCCAACAUUGAGCCCGUGUAGAAACAACCAAGAUGAAUAUUUGCAAGAGGACAACGAUGAGUAUGCGGACGAUGACAAUGAAGUUGAUCUCCAUGACAACAAUGUGGGUGAUCUCGACAAAUAUCAUUUGCAAGAGACAAUGGACCAUUCCAUCCCUUUUUCCCGUGCAUAUGCAUCGGACUCGGAUGACGAUGGUCCCGAUGAACAAGUUGAUGCGGAGGGGUUCACGGUGAAGGAGGCCGAAGCUUUCGAGAAGGUAUUUGGUCGGGAUCAUCGGACUACAUUGUUCAAGGAUGUUAGUCUCGCGGAUGAAGCCGUGGUAGAUGGUGGCCAAUGUGUAGCUCUUGGGGUUAGGCCAAGCUCUCACCGUGAUUUGGUAGACGACAAGAACCGGAUUGCUAAAGGUUCUAAGUUCGACAGCUUGUUGGAUUUGAAGAUGUGGCUUGACAACUACUCGGUUAUGCAUUAUCGUCCACACAAGGUGGUGCACUCGGACGUCAAUGUGCGCUACACAGUUGCAUGUGCAUGUGAAGAUGAAAAGGAGGUCCAACUUGGACUUACAAGAGGCCGUGGUGGUGGUAGAGGUCGUGGAAAGGAGGUCCAACAAGGAGUGGCAAGACGCCGUGGCGGUUGUCCGUGGAUUGUGCGUGCAAGACCAUGGAAAGGAGGUCCUACUUGGCAUGUAGUGAGUUGUGUGCCAACUCACAUGUGCCAAGGCAAAAGGGUGGAUGGCAAGAUUGUGUCCCAAGACCACAAACAACUCACGUCCGAGUUCAUCGCUUACAGGCUCUCGAACUCAAUAUCCACACUUCCAACAAUGAGCGUCCAACAUGUCAUUGACCUUGUGAAAGCCAUCUUUCAUUACCAGGUGAAAUACGGCAAGGCAUGGAAGGCGAAGCAAGCCGCAUUUAAGAUGUUGUAUGGUACAUGGGAGGAAGCAUACAACCGAAUCCCUAGGUUGUUGUUAGCCAUGGCCGCGACAAACCCGGGCAUGGUUCAUGUGGUCGAGCCUCAUGGGCACCAAACAACGGUUCAUGAAGGAAGGAAAGUCAGAGUAUUUGGCCAUGCUUUUUGGGCGUUCGAGCAAUGUGUGAGGGCUUUCGAACAUUGUAGGCCGGUCAUCGCAAUUGAUGGCACGUUCUUGACCGGACAAUACAAGGGCACCUUGUUGGUUGCGAUAGCAAGUGAUGCCAAUAACCGGGUGUUGCCAUUGGCAUUUGCUUUGGUUGAGGUGGAAAAAAAUGACAACUGGGAGUGGUUUCUGCAUCUUUUGAGGACGAAGGUGUUACCCGCUCAAAGGGAAAUUUGUGUCAUAUCGGAUCGGAAUCAAGGAAUUCUUAACGCCGUGGAGAUUGACAUUCCCGGGCAUGCUCCGUUGCACCAUUGA